rnacentral:rRNA from 1 species
UACGGAGGGUGCGAGCGUUGUUCGGAUUCAUUGGGCGUAAAGGGUGCGUAGGUGGCGUCGUAAGUCGGGUGUGAAAUUUCGGAGCUUAACUCCGAAACUGCAUUCGAUACUGCGGUGCUUGAGGACUGGAGAGGAGACUGGAAUUUACGGUGUAGCAGUGAAAUGCGUAGAGAUCGUAAGGAAGACCAGUGGCGAAGGCGGGUCUCUGGACAGUUCCUGACACUGAGGCACGAAGGCCAGGGGAGCAAACGGG